rfam:Lactobacillus algidus DSM 15638 Scaffold5, whole genome shotgun sequence.
UAAGUACACUAGGGGUGUUCUUUAGAAGAACUGAGAUAAGCUUUUGCAGCUUAAUCCCUUCGAACCUGUAAGUCAAAACUUGCGUAGGAAAGUGUGAAGAAGGACCC